rnacentral:tRNA from 1 species
GGGUGCUUAGCUCAGUUGGGAGAGCAUCGCCCUUACAAGGCGAGGGUCGUAGGUUCGAACCCUACAGCACCCACCA